UCACUUGCUGUGGUGCCAGUGAGAUAUAUCUAUAUCUAUAUCUAUAUCUAUAUCUAUAUCUAUAUCUAUAAUCACUGGCACCACAGCAAGUGA